rnacentral:rRNA from 1 species
GACGAACGCUGACGGUGUGCUUUAGACAUGCAAGUCGAGCGAGAAAGCCCUUCGGGGUUAGUAAAGCGGCGAACGGGUGAGUAACACGUGGGCAAUCUGCCCCUCGCAGGGGGACGAACCGGGGAAACGUACCGGCUAAUACCCGUAACGCUAUGUGGAUCGCAUGGUUCACAUAGGAAAGGUAGCUUCGGCCAUCCGGCGAGGGAUGAGCCCGCGGUACAUUAGCUAGUUGGUGGGGUAACGGCCUACCAAGGCGGCGAUGUAUAGCUGGUCUGAGAGGAUGAUCAGCCACACUGGGACUGAGACACGGCCCANACUCCUACGGGAGGCAGCAGUGGGGAAUCUUGCGCAAU